AAGGUACAUCAAGAUGCAAACAAUUUUUUUAUCUUCAUAACUUCCUGCUCUUAUUAACUUGUAUUAUGAAUCAAAUUAAGUUUUAUGUAUAAGGCAUUUACUAUUCCAGUGACUUAGCUAAUGAAAACAUUUAAAAAUAUGUAUUAAUUUACUUGGCCUGCUACUAAAGUGCUUAACAUAACUAAAUGGAUCUAUAGUAACAUGUCUAAAUUUUUUAAUGGAAAUAAGGGACUAACCAUAAUCCUUUUGAGUCAGCUUGGUGCUUACAAUUAUUUUGUUAGGAAAUCUUGAUGCUUUCUUCUUUCUCUUUAAAUUUUUGUAAUCAAGCAACAGACUUGAUCCAGCAGUGUCGAAUUCCAAGCAAGUUAUGAUGAUUCUUAUUGUAGUUCAAGUACAGAUGAGUAAGUGGUGUGACUUCAGUUUAUUAUCUUCUUGGUGACCUACUUUAGUAUGUGUUCUGUAGCGAUUCAUAUUAGUUAAGGGACGUUUUCAAUAUGCUUGAAAUAAGAAAUAGCAUUUUACUCUAAAUACAAGAAAUGACUGUACACAAAUGCUAAUCAGUGAUUUGGGGCCUUUUAAUGUCUUUAACAGCAAUCUUUUAUUUAUUUAUUUAUUUAUUUUUGAGACGGAGUCUUGCUGUGUCACCAGGCUGGAGCAGUGGCACGAUCUCGCCUCACUGCAACCUCCGCCUCCCAGGUUCAAGCUAUUCUCCUGCCUCAGCCUCCCAAGUAACUGGGACUGCAGGCACAUGCCACCACAUCCAGCUAAUUUUUGUAUUUUUAGUAGAGACGGGGUUUCACCUUGUUGGCCAGGAUGAUCUCGAUCUCUUGAUCUCGUGAUCUGCCCGCAUUGGCCUCCUGAAGUGCUGGGAUUACAGGCAUGAGCCACUGCGCCCGGCCCAAAUCUUUUAUUUUUUAACAGCCUUAGUUAUUUAUAAUUCAAAUGCACUAAAAUAUCAUCGCUGUCAUGAACUUUGCUGUUUACAGGUUCUGUGUAAUUCAGAAUGCUUUGUACUUAGAAAAUAAUUUCUAGGCUUAUCUUGUUUUGCAGUUUUCAUGUUUUGACAAUUGCCCACCAUUUACAAUACUCAAUUUUUGAUUAUGAAAUGAAUAGUAAAAUUCAAACAUAUCUAAUAAUAAUUUGCCUUAGUUUGAUUAAUAAAUUAUAUCAAAAAACUUGGGGAUAGAAAGAGGCUUUUUUUUCCCCCUGUAGUAUUUUUAAAACUUUUUAGAUGAGCUGGAUGAAACCUUAGUACAUUGGAGCUGGAGUUGUAUUGAGUACAGCCCCAACUCUGAAGCCUUAUAUUCAUGUCUUAAGUACCAUUGAUUGUUCUGUGAAUUGUUGUUAGUUUCAUAUUUGACAUUGUAGUAAUCCACCUUGCAUUUUAGUCUUUGCAAAAAGGAUAUUGCUAGGUAUAUUCUUAUUUCUGAUUGAGUAUUGAAUUUACAUUUUUCAGAAUUUCAUUCUUUGUCAUUAUAAUCCAAAAACAAUGUCCACAUCAGACUUGGAACUUCUCACUUCAAAAAUGAAAUACAGAUUUAGCAGUGUUGUACAUAAUGAUGUCCAAGCAUUUUUCCACCUGUUUACUGAGUUUUCCAACCAUUUACUAUGUGUUGAGAUUGGUGGGUUUUCUGGCUGUUUUUCUGAGGUGAAUGACUUGUUACAGAGCCUCAGUAAGAAAUUUCAACUAAAAUCACAAAAACAUAAAGUCCAGGAAACCACCAGAAGAUGGAUUUUUAGUGUUUUUGAAAUCUUGUAUUUCCUUUUGAUAUCAUUUACUCAUUUUAAUUUUACGACUGCCAACUUGUUACGGUAUUAAUUAUAUGUAUGUGUUUAUAUGUAUGCAUAUAAUAUAUGUAUAUGUAUAUGAAGAAUAAAGUUAAGAUUUGGUCAAACUAUAUUUUCCCAUUCAAGUACAAAAAUGUUUUCAAGGCUGCAAAAAGUGUACAGUUGUUAAACAAGUUGUAAAUAAAGACUUGUAU
rnacentral:lncRNA from 1 species